AGGUGAACCUGCGGAAGGAUCAUUAUUGAAUUAUGUUUUCUAGAUGGGUUGUAGCUGGCUUUCAGGAGCAUGUGCACGCCUGUCUGGACUUCAUUUUCAUCCACCUGUGCACCUUUUGUAGUCUUUGUUGGGUAUUGAGGAAGUGGUCAGCCUAUCAGCAUUGCUGGAUAAGAGAACUUGCAGUGCGAAAGCAUUGCUAUCCUCUACUUGGCCAUGGAAUCUUUUUUCCUGUCAGAGUCUAUGUUAUUCAUUAUACCUUACAGAAAGUUAUUGAAUGUCUUUACAUGGGCUUCUAAGCUUAUGAAAAUUAUAAUACAACUUUCAGCAACGGAUCUCUUGGCUCUCG
rnacentral:misc_RNA from 1 species